UGAGGAAUAUUGGACAAUGGGUGAAAACCUGAUCCAGCCAUGCCGCGUGCAGGAAGACGGCCCUAUGGGUUGUAAACUGCUUUUGUAUGGGAGCAAUAAGCUCUACGCGUAGAGUGAUGAGAGUACCAUACGAAUAAGCAUCGGCUAACUCCGUGCCAGCAGCCGCGGUAAUACGGAGGAUCCAAGCGUUAUCCGGAUUUAUUGGGUUUAAAGGGUGCGUAGGCGGUUAGAUAAGUUAGAGGUGAAAUAUUAGGGCUUAACCCUGAAACUGCCUCUAAUACUGUUUAACUAGAGUGCAGGAGAGGUAAGUGGAAUUCCUAGUGUAGCGGUGAAAUGCGUAGAUAUUAGGAGGAACACCAGUGGCGAAGGCGGCUUACUGGACUGUAACUGACGUUGAGGCUCGAAAGCGUGGGGAGCAAACA
rnacentral:rRNA from 1 species